UUAGCUGGAACAUGUACAGACAAGCUCAUGAGAUAUUCUGGGUUUCCUAAACCAUUUCUGCUGUGGGACUCUUGACUGUAGGUUCCUUGGGGCAGGUUCUUUCUUCCAAGUCUUUCAAAUUGGGCACAGACCACCCAAUCCCUUGGCUUAUACGUAUGAACUCUGCACAGAUUUUCUUUGUUGGGAUCUCUUUAUCCCUUUGGGUGAUCUUUUGGAUAAUGUCCCCUUUAACAUGGAUUUAGAGGAGUCCUUCUCUUGGACCAAGCAAAAACUCAUAUAUUCUUUCUUUCUUACAGAUGGAAGGGCAGCAGUCUACCAGUGUAGCUCUGAUUCUCUUUGCUACCCAAGACAAAACUUCAAGGCAUGUUAUAAAAAGAAAAAAGGAAGAACGUAGGAAGCCUUAUUAUCUUCUUUUAUUGACUUCACAUUGAAUAUGGUCAUUUGCAGACUUAUUUUGGAGUUUCUCCAUCUCAUAUUCCAAGGAUAGCCAAAUGACUUAAUACAAACGCUCCCGAAGUAUUAUUAGUCAUCGGUUUUGAAAUUUUCCUUUCAACAGUGUUCUAGACAAGUCAUUUAAUUUUCAUACUUUAAUUUUUUCAUUUUCUGAAUACUAGGACUAUGACUGUUUUUAUGGGACUAAGUGAAAGUCCAUCAAAUUUUAUUCAAAAUAGAUUUGAAUUUUUUAAAUGAAAGUAUGAAGACUAUAUUACAUACAGCAUCGUUUUAUGUAAUGACAAUAUAAGUUACUAUACUUGUCUAUUCCAGUGUGUAAAUCAUGUUGUCGUUUAUCUCAUCCCCUGCAAUGACUUGCUUGGAGGGAAGUAGGCAUUUUACUCAGCAUCUAGUCUUAUUCACAUUUUUGUGGACAGUCUGAAAGACCUAACACCCACCCAUCAUCCUACAUAUUGGUUUGUGUGGAAGCAUCUGUGUGAGAAGUAUGCUUUCUUUAUCAUGAUACAAAGAUUUAAGGUAGAAGGUGGAAUGUCAUAUGAUGUAAAUGUUAUCAUAUAGAUAAUGAUGUAAAGGUUCUGUGUAUUUCUUGAGAGAGAGAGAGAGAGAGAGAGUGUGUGUGUGUGUGUGUGUGUGUGUGUGUGUGUGUUUUCUCACAUUUGAGUUUUGUCCCUGAACUUUCUUCAUUUCAUGUUACACACGAGCAAUCCUUUGUUCAAGGGAAGCUUGUCACUAUAUAACCAGGGAACAAAGGUAUCAAAUUUUGGCUUUUAAAUUCUAAAGCAAUGGUUCAGAUGUAAGACACCAAAAUUGGAAGGCUGUACAUCCAUACGGAACCACCUUUCCUCUCAGAAGAGAUGAAGAUCCUCUGAGUUUAGGAGGGGGAGGGAAAGUGAGAAGGAAUAGUAGAGUAAGACACUAAGAAAGGUCUUUUGGAAGGAGGU
rnacentral:lncRNA from 12 species